rnacentral:SRP_RNA from 1 species
GUCGAGUUCAGUAGCGUGAGCUUGUGACCCAAGUGGGGACAUUGAGGUGGUAGAACACGGAUCUAGUAAACUGGAUCGGGUCUUUGGCUUGGCUUUAUGCUAGCCUGCCCUGUCCAAGUUGGGAGUUGACCCAUGGGCCUCGGGUGAAGGCCUGAGUCUCUUGGGUACUAGAGUGGAGGGCACUGCGUGAGGCUGGUUUUACAGAGCAACGACAACCUCCCGCUCCCAUCAGUGGAUGGAUAACGGGCCGGUGCCUACCGGAUCCACUAGUGUCCAGUUGGCUAAGAUCUUCAUUGGACCAUCAUUUUU